CAUAGCAGCUAAUUCAUAAACUGAUCUUCUAUCUGAAUUAUACAGGCUGGAGAUAUGCUUGUGGAGAUCGAUAGUGGAUGAUCGUGCCACCAUAAAAUGAAUUAGCUGCUAUGUAUUCAGAAUCAUGGCUUGUGCGGAAGGUAACCGAAGCAUGUUUAUGAAGAUUCAGCUUAAAUUAUGAAUCACAGUGGCCUAUGUAUGCCCUGUGACACAGUUUGAUCAGUGUUGGCAUUCAGUAUCACUGCAGAAUGUGUUUGCUUUUAACAUACUAUUGUUACAUUUAGUGUUGAUUUGCAUUUUAACCUACAAAAUAGAAGUGAUGAAUUCUCCUUGUGAUCAAUCGUGAAUCGCAAUCCUGUUCACUUGCGCUAGCACUUUUUGAUAUAUCUAAAGACUGGUGUGACGAGUUACGUGUUUGCAGUAUGGUAUUGGUACAUUGUGAGCAUCUGAUUAUAUCUGUACUCAAGCUAUUGUGACAGUUAAGAUCGGCAUCGAAGUACAAAGGUAAAAUUUAAUUACAAAACUAAUUUCCAAAAAUUUGAUUUCACCAAAUGGCUGUCGCUUUUUUGUUACAGUUAUUCGGCAGGUUGGUAGCAGACCCUUUUACUACUUCCCAUACGAGUGCAGAAGCAACGUUGUAAGUGAUGCUACGCAUCCGGUAACUGAAAUCCUGGCCACACAACAUGGAGAUCGCGUGGUUGCAUCGGGCGGUCACGCUCGACAACAAACAAAUGGAAGCAAAAAGAAACCAGACCCGACCCACACAACCCUCAUCCUCCCGUGUCCGAAGUGCUUCAGGAUUCCCCUCCGCCGCCACCGCUCCGGUAGAGCUCGUCGUCAUCGGUUCCGCAUCUGGGCUGCUCCACUAUUGUCGCGGCUUCAAAAACUGCGACUGGCACACGCUCUCUCCCGGCCACGGACUUUCUCGGCCGACCUCCUCCCUCGAAGUCAGUUCCCAUCUCCGCCUUCCCUCUUCAUCUUCCUCCAAUUUUACAUCUUUAUUUGCAUUGCCUCCUUUCUCCGGUCGUCGCUCUUGAUUCCUUGAUUUCCUUUAGAUACAUGUGUUGUCUAUCGCUGUUCAUCUCUUUGUUCUUAACUUUUCUUUCAGGGUUCGUUUAUUAUUAUGUUGGAUGAUCAAUCAGGCUAUUCUUUUAUAUGAUGGGAAGAUGAAUAUUCUCUAUUAGUAUUUUUUCUGUUAUUUUAAUGAUUAACAAUUUCCCAUGGUUCUAAA